rnacentral:tRNA from 1 species
GGGCAGUGUAGCCUAGGUAAGGCGGCGAGUUGUAGCCUCGCAGACAGGAGCUACCUCACGCCCA